rnacentral:tRNA from 1 species
GCCGAUGUAGCUCAAUUGGUAGAGCAGCUGACUUGUAAUCAGCAGGUUGCGGGUUCGAGUCCCAUCAUCGGCUCCA